rnacentral:misc_RNA from 1 species
ACUACAGAGGUAUCUAAUCCUGUUUGCUCCCCACGCUUUCGUGCAUGAGCGUCAGUGUUAUCCCAGGAGGCUGCCUUCGCCAUCGGUGUUCCUCCGCAUAUCUACGCAUUUCACUGCUACACGCGGAAUUCCACCUCCCUCUGACACACUCUAGCUCGGUAGUUAAAAAUGCAGUUCCAAAGUUAAGCUCUGGAUUUCAUCUUUCUUUCCGAACCGCCUGCGCACGCUUUACGCCAGUAAUUCCGAUUAGCAACUUGCACCCUACGUAUUACCGCGGCUACUGUGCAUGGUUAGCCGGUGCUUAUUCUGCAGGUACCGUCAGUUGCACGGUAUUAUCGUGCCGUUUUCUUCCUGCCAAAGUGCUUUACAACCCGAAGGCCUUCAUCGCACACGCGGAGAUGGCUGGAUCAGGGUUUCCCCAUUGUCCAAAUUCCCCACUGCUGCGUCCCGUA